GGGUAGGUGGCAGAGUGGUUGAAUGCGCUAGUCUCGAAAACUAGUGUGGGUGCAAGCCCAUCGGGGGUUCGAAUCCCCCCCUACCCGCCA
rnacentral:tRNA from 1 species